UACGGGAGGCAGCAGUGGGGAAUAUUACACAAUGGGCGCAAGCCUGAUGCAGCCAUGCCGCGUGUAUGAAGAAGGCCUUCGGGUUGUAAAGUACUUUCAGUCGUGAGGAAGGUGUUAAGGUUAAUAACCUUAGCAAUUGACGUUAGCGACAGAAGAAGCACCGGCUAACUCCGUGCCAGCAGCCGCGGUAAUACGGAGGGUGCGAGCGUUAAUCGGAAUUACUGGGCGUAAAGGGCACGCAGGCGGUUAAUUAAGUUGGAUGUGAAAUCCCCGGGCUUAACCUGGGAAUGGCAUUCAAGACUGGUUAGCUAGAGUCUUGUAGAGGGGGGUAGAAUUCCGAUGUGUAGCGGUGAAAUGCGUAGAGAUGUGGAGGAAUACCGGUGGCGAAGGCGGCCCCUGGACAAAGACUGACGCUCAUGUGCGAAAGCGUGGGGAGCAAACGAGGGAUUAGAUAC
rnacentral:rRNA from 1 species